rnacentral:rRNA from 1 species
AUCAUAGUGGAAGUGUUACACCCGAUCCCUUUCCGAACUCGGAAGUUAAGCCUUCUAACGUCAAUGGUACUGCGUCUCGAAAACGCGGGAGAGUAGAUAAUCGCCAGGC